UUCAAAAUCUCUCCUCUUCUCACACGCACAUCACCUUCCCCUAAACCUAAAACUCACCCUUUCCUUUCCUAAAAUCAAAACCCAAAACUCAGAUUCUCCCAUCGUCGCCGCCGCCGCCACUGCAUCUUUUGGUUUUCCUGUAUUAUGCAACUCAUUCUCUACCUGUUAUUGUUUUUAAUUGAAAAUCAAACUCCAUACCCAGUGCCCAGGGAAUGAUGAUAAUGCCAAUUAUUCACUCCCACCGCCAAGUAAAACCUAGCAGAGGGUGUGGUUUCCUUCAAAGAGAAGUGCUCCUUUGUCGUCUGUUGGACAAGUUACGCAUUAUGUGAAAAUAUGUUGAAGAAGUUAAUGGUGGUCAUUGCAAUGGAAUGAUUUGGGAGAGUUGCAGACUAUGGCCUGGACUUCAGGAGGUUCACUCUUUAUUUCUCAAGGGAGUAAUUGAAUUCAUGUUUGAGUAAAGCAAAUGACACAGAAAUUUUUACUGCAAUGCGUGGAGAAUUUGGCAACCAAAAAUCAACAAUGGACUGAAAUUACAGAGCAUCCACUAUGGUCCAUGGAGCAUCUCACUGUGGGCAUAAGAAUACUUGAUUGAGUACACUAGAUUAAGAAACAUUGCAAAUUAAUUUAUGCUUUUUUUUUUUUUUGGUUUAGUUUCAGUGAAAGCCAAUAAAAUACAGAGUAAUUGGGUGUGAUGUAGAUGUAGGGAAAUCAUAUUGACGGUAAAGUUGUGUUAUUUUCUAUUUAUUUUGUUACAAUUUUAAUUA